rnacentral:rRNA from 1 species
GUCGAUGCGCUCAUAGGCAGCCCACAGAAACAAUCCAUCACCACCCACCCACGACUCCCUCACCCUGGCUAGGGUUCCCAGCCCCUCCUCCUCAGCCGCCGCUGCAUGUUCCUCGCUGGCCUCGCCCGGGCGUCUUCCGGACCUUGCCGGGAGAAAUCAGCCAGCACCGUUCCGACCUCGCCGGGAGAAGCCAGCAGGACCCUACCGUCAUGCCUCCCUCUCCCCUUCUCCUCUUUUCCGCUACCUAUCUCUUUCCUCUGAACCUGAUUGGGGCACUGCGACUAGCCUCCACUCCAGAUCCGUCCGCCUUUGAUCCCGUAUCCUCCCUCCAGACGGGAUCCGGCCUCGACCACUGCGCACGGGUGCGACGGGAUCCGCCACUCUAGCGAGCAGGAGUAGCACGGUGGCUGUGGUCUGCUCAGACCCCCGACCAACGACGUGAGGCGUGCGGUGGUCUGCAGCAAGGAUAUCCUUCCAUGGCUGGACGCACUCUUCAUCUAAAUCAUGUCUCUAAACAUGCUGCCGUUAAGGUUGGCGCUACAUAAAUCAUGCCUUCACGGCUGGACAUCACUCCUACAUGGUCUUCUCACUUGAGAUGUCAUAUAUAACGUGUCCCUUCUGUGGGAAUGUUCAACUAGGAGCAGUUUCAUCUCGAGCACCGCAAUCAUGCAUGCUACUCUCAUCGACUACUAACCACUUGCUACUAACAUAAAUCAUGCCUCCAACGUUGGACAUCACUACUAAAGAGGUACUGUCGGUGAGUAUCACCGUUUAGUUUUUUAUAGUCUAUAGAUUUAUUUAUAUGGAUAGUGCAGAUUCAUCUAUUACUUUGACUAAUGUGACUGUAGCAACAUUCACUCCAUUCAUUUUUUUGGGGAAACUACAAUUCAUUUUGUUCACCUGAACAUUGAAUUAAGGAAUGCACAAGGUUCAGGGCUUAUGCAAAUUAUUGAAAUUUAAUAUUUGGGGACAAUGGAGAAACACAGGCGGCAGUGUUGAAUUUACACCCGUUGUUGCACCUGCAGCUUUUCGGCAUCCUUAGCACAAUAAGCCCAAACACGAAGAUUAUAUGCCGCCUUGGAUUUGUGUGGCUGUUAACUUGUUGUUAUCAAACACUUUUUUCCUUAAUAUGUGCAGCUUUUUUGGGGCGUCCAUGGAUGCAAAGGAAUCCCGUGAGUACAAUGUACACUGGCAUCAUCUUCAUCAAAUUCUUCAAGCUCAGCAAGUGUGAGACAACUAAUGCAUGUGUAUUAUCUAUUUCAUCGAAGUGUAAGAUUUCUCCUCUUCUCUUGUUUGUGUUCAAUGGUUGUUGUGGUUUUUGGUUUUGCGUUUCAACAGUGACAUGUAUUCUGAUUAGGCACUUGCAUAGGUACUGUGUAGAGCUGGAACUUCUAAUAAAAAUGAUCUAUGUAGUAAAGCAAAGGAGAGAGACUACAACCUUUUCAGGCCUGAAUCUAUCCCCAUUCUGAAUCUACUUGGUUAUUGAUUCGCAUUUCCAGCAUAUGAAGACCACAUGCUAUUUUUUCUAUGCUCUCCUCUUCGGCUCUUCCUUUAUGAUUCAGCAUAUGCUAUCUGCUACUGUAGCUUUCAUGCUUAUAUCCUUGGUUAUAUUUUACAGCGAUCCAAAUUUAGGAUUUGUGUUGAUAUCCGAAGUUCCUAAUGACGAUUGGUCCUUAUUAGUUUCUUUAAAGGAAGCACAACAAGUGGUUGUACUAGGAAGAUUACCUUGACAUGGGAGUUUCUUUUUUCUAAGAACAGGGGAGUCUUUAUUAUUUCACUUGAAAAGAUGAUGUACGCAUUUAAAGUGUAGAAUUUCCAUUUGUAUAUUCAUAUUGUGGUUAACUUUUACUUUCUAAAAAUCAAUAUUGGCUGGCGGUUUGGCCAAUUAUUUAAUAAAUAAAAACCUCAGGUGUUGAUCCCUUUGAUCUCUAGCCAUAUGACUUCCCAUUCAAGAUAUGACGGGGCAUGGAUGUGAUACACCCACAUACAGAGAUAUUUAGGUGUAAAGUGGGGACGAGCAGGCUUGUAGAUGAAGUGUUUGUACUUAUGGCUCAACAAAACUGACUACUCUAGCCUUGCCACCAUUAGUGUAGUGUUAUUAUCUUCCGUCCCAUGUUUUGUUGAAAGAUCUUCCAGAUUCAUGACCCGCCUUAAAAAAAGUACAAUGCAAAUACAACCAUUUAUCGUUACAGCCGAGGAAUUUAGUGUAGAAAGAUACUUUACAAGUAGUCUCAAGCUGGAGGAUAACAGAUUGGUUGAGACGUUAGGGAUCCCCAUCAAUGUUAUAUUAUUUGUCUGCAGGUAUAUUCUCAGCUCCAAAUUCUAGAUAUUAUAGUGAGUAGAUGAGGUGAAAGUAUUUGCAACAUAGUUCUUUUUUUGUUUUGCUCUAAUUUCUGCGGGAGUGUUAAACCCCAUGUAGCAUGAUGGUGCAUCGCUCGGCCCCCGACCACCCACCGUACCGAGAACUCCCUGAUAUUUUCCGCGCCCUCGCUUCUACCAUGGUUUUUCCGUCAUGGACGGCCCAAAGAAUGCCAUGCAGCUGCGUCUCCGGCCCGCUCAGGACGAAAAGCCCAUUUUCUGUCAUGAUUUUUUGUCAUAGAAGUAGGAGCCCACCACAUCUAUGAUGAUACCGAGAUUUGUCACAAUUAUCAUCAUAGAAGUUUCAUAAGUAUGACAAAAAAAAUUUGUUCGGCCCUAAAUGUCACGGAUGUGUCUUUUUUUGUAGUGCACGUCGAGGCUGGCCAUAGUUCAGAUGAGUCUCCAUCGUGGGGAGCCACACUAACUGCGAUGAUAUGGACUCCCGUUGCCCACAGUUAUGGAUCGUUCCAUCUAUGAAGAACAAGUGGGAUUGGAAUUACGAGACGGACAUGUACCCAGGAGUGGACGUACGAACCUGAGUAAUGUAGCACAGUAAGUGAAGUAGAAAGGCACAAAUAGUAUGAACAUGCCUGGCAUAUAGGCAUUUCUCUCUUAC